rnacentral:SRP_RNA from 1 species
GUUGGAUGCAAUGGCUUGUGCCUGUAGUCCCAGCUAUUCGGGAGGCUGAGACAGGAGGAUCACUUGAGCCCAGGAGUUCUGGGCUGUGGUGCUAUGCCGAUCGGGUGUCUGCACUAAGUUUGGCAUCAAUACAGUGACCUCCAGGGAGUAGGGGACCACCAGGUUGCCUAAGGAGGGGUGAACCGGCCCAGGUCGGAAACAGAGCUGGUCAAAACUCCUGUGCUGAUCAGUAGUGGGAUUUCGCCUGUGCAUAGCCACUGAACUCCAGCCUGGUCAACAUAGCAAGACCCCGUCUCU